CGAGCGUUGAAAAGCUCGGGGAUGACUUGUGGGUAGCGGUGAAAUUCCAAUCGAGCCCGGAGAUAGCUGGUUCUCCCCGAAAUAGCUUUAGGGCUAGCCUCAAGGUGAGAGAUACGGAGGUAGAGCACUGAAUGUCCUAGGGGGUAUUGCACCUACCGAAGACUAUCAAACUCCGAAUGCCGUCAUCUUAUACUUGGGAGUCAGACUGUGGGUGAUAAGAUUCAUAGUCGAAAGGGCAACAGCCCAGAUCGUCAGCUAAGGUCCCUAAAUGUAAGUUAAGUGGUAAAGGAUGUGGGAUUGCACAGACAACCAGGAUGUUGGCUUAGAAGCAGCCACUCAUUCAAAGAGUGCGUAAUAGCUCACUGGUCGAGUGAUCCUGCGCCGAAGAUUUCCGGGGCUAAAACUUACUACCGAAGCUACGGCAUCAGUAAUGAUGGGUAGGGGAGCUUCCCAUACGGGUUGAAGCA
rnacentral:rRNA from 1 species